UACGGGGGGGGCAAGCGUUGUUCGGAAUUACUGGGCGUAAAGCGUGCGUAGACGGUUAUUUAAGUCGGGUGUGAAAGCCCCGGGCUCAACCUGGGAAUUGCAUUCGAGACUGAAUAGCUAGGGUACGGAAGAGGCGAGUGGAAUUCCUGGUGUAGCGGUGAAAUGCGCAGAUAUCAGGAGGAACAACAAUUGCGAAGGCAGCUCGCUGGGACGUUACUGACGCUGAGACGCGAAAGCGUGGGGAGCAAACAGG
rnacentral:rRNA from 1 species